AGUCAAGUAAUUAAGUGCAUNNNNNNNNNNNNGUGGUGGAUGCCUUGGCAGUCAGAGGCGAUGAAAGACGUGAUAGCCUGCGAAAAGCUCCGGGGAGGCGGCAAAUAUCCUUUGAUCCGGAGAUGUCUGAAUGGGGGAACCCACCUACUUUAAGGUAGGUAUUGCAACAUGAAUACAUAGUGUUGCAAGGCGAACGAGGGGAAGUGAAACAUCUCAGUACCCUUAGGAAAAGAAAUCAAUUGAGAUUCCCUCAGUAGCGGCGAGCGAACGGGGAUCAGCCCAUUAAGUUAUGUGUGUUUUAGUGGAACGCUCUGGGAAGUGCGAACGUAGAGGGUGAUAUUCCCGUACACGAAAGGGCACACAUAAUGAUGACGAGUAGGGCGAGGCACGUGAAACCUUGUCUGAAUAUGGGGGGACCAUCCUCCAAGGCUAAAUACUCCUGACUGACCGAUAGUGAACCAGUACCGUGAGGGAAAGGCGAAAAGAACCCCUGUGAGGGGAGUGAAAUAGAUCCUNGAAACCGCAUGCAUACAAGCAGUGGGAGCACCUUCGUGGUGUGACUGCGUACCUUUUGUAUAAUGGGUCAGCGACUUAUAUUCAGUAGCGAGGUUAACCGUAUAGGGGAGCCGUAGAGAAAUCGAGUCUUAAUAGGGCGUUUAGUUGCUGGGUAUAGACCCGAAACCAGGCGAUCUAUCCAUGAGCAGGUUGAAGGUUGGGUAACACUAACUGGAGGACCGAACCCACUGUCGUUGAAAAGCCAGGGGAUGACUUGUGGAUAGGGGUGAAAGGCUAAUCAAGCCUGGUGAUAGCUGGUUCUCCCCGAAAGCUAUUUAGGUAGCGCCUCGGACGAAUACCAUAGGGGGUAGAGCACUGUUUCGGCUAGGGGGUCAUCCCGACUUACCAAACCGAUGCAAACUCCGAAUACCUAUGAGUACUAUCCGGGAGACAGACUGCGGGUGCUAACGUCCGUAGUCAAGAGGAAAACAAUCCAGACCGCCAGCUAAGGCCCCAAAAUCAUAGUUAAGUGGGAAACGAUGUGGGAAGGCAUAGACAGCUAGGAGGUUGGCUUAGAAGCAGCCACCCUUUAAAGAAAGCGUAAUAGCUCACUAGUCGAGUCGGCCUGCGCGGAAGAUGUAACGGGGCUAAAACUAUGUGCCGAAGCUGCGGAUNGUAUACUUUGUAUACGUGGUAGGGGAGCGUUCUGUAAGCCGAUGAAGGUGUGUUGAGAAGCAUGCUGGAGGUAUCAGAAGUGCGAAUGCUGACGUGAGUAACGACAAAACGGGUGAAAAACCCGUUCGCCGAAAGACCAAGGGUUCCAGUCCAACGUUAANUUGACAUUAGUCAAGUGGUAGGGGAGCGUUCUGUAAGCCGAUGAAGGUGUAUUGAGAAGUAUGCUGGAGGUAUCAGAAGUGCGAAUGCUGACGUGAGUAACGACAAAACGGGUGAAAAACCCGUUCGCCGAAAGACCAAGGGUUCCAGUCCAACGUUAANNNNNNNNNNNNNNNNNNNNNNNNNNNNNNNNNNNUCGGGGCUGGGUGAGUCGACCCCUAAGGCGAGGCCGAAAGGCGUAGUCGAUGGGAAAAUGGUUAAUAUUCCAUUACUUCUGUGUAAUGCGAUGAGAGGACGGAGAAGGCUAAAUCAGCCUGGCGUUGGUUGUCCAGGUGAAAGGAUGUAGGCAUGUAUCUUAGGCAAAUCCGGGGUACUCUAUGCUGAGAUCUGAUAGCAAGCUGUACUUGUACAGCGAAGUGGUUGAUGCCAUGCUUCCAGGAAAAGUCUCUAAGCUUCAGUUACACAGGAAUCGUACCCGAAACCGACACAGGUGGUCAGGUCGAGUAGACCAAGGCGCUUGAGAGAACUCUGCUGAAGGAACUAGGCAAAAUGGUACCGUAACUUCGGGAGAAGGUACGCUGUUGUUGGUGAUGGAACUCGCUUCCUGAGCUGACGACAGCCGCAGAAACCAGGCCGCUGCAACUGUUUAUUAAAAACAUAGCACUCUGCAAACACGAAAGUGGACGUAUAGGGUGUGAUGCCUGCCCGGUGCUGGAAGGUUAAUUGAUGGGGUUAGCGUAAGCGAAGCUCUUGAUCGAAGCCCCAGUAAACGGCGGCCGUAACUAUAACGGUCCUAAGGUAGCGAAAUUCCUUGUCGGGUAAGUUCCGACCUGCACGAAUGGCAUAAUGAUGGCGGCGCUGUCUCCAGCAGAGGCUCAGUGAAAUCGAAAUCGCUGUGAAGAUGCAGUGUACCCGCGGCUAGACGGAAAGACCCCGUGAACCUUUACUGCAGCUUGACACUGAACUUUGACCUUACUUGUGUAGGAUAGGUGGGAGGCUUUGAAGCUGGAACGCUAGUUCCAGUGGAGCCGUCCUUGAAAUACCACCCUGGUAAUGUUGAGGUUCUAACUCUGUCCCGUGAUCCGGGACGAGGACCGUGUCUGGUGGGUAGUUUGACUGGGGCGGUCUCCUCCUAAAGAGUAACGGAGGAGUACGAAGGUGCGCUCAGCGUGGUCGGAAAUCACGCGUAGAGUAUAAAGGCAAAAGCGCGCUUAACUGCGAGACCCACAAGUCGAGCAGGUACGAAAGUAGGUCUUAGUGAUCCGGUGGUUCUGUAUGGAAGGGCCAUCGCUCAACGGAUAAAAGGUACUCUGGGGAUAACAGGCUGAUACCGCCCAAGAGUUCAUAUCGACGGCGGUGUUUGGCACCUCGAUGUCGGCUCAUCUCAUCCUGGGGCUGAAGCAGGUCCCAAGGGUAUGGCUGUUCGCCAUUUAAAGAGGUACGCGAGCUGGGUUUAGAACGUCGUGAGACAGUUCGGUCCCUAUCUACCGUGGGCGCUGGAAAUUUGAGAGGAUCUGCUCCUAGUACGAGAGGACCAGAGUGGACGAACCUCUGGUGUACCGGUUGUGACGCCAGUCGCAUCGCCGGGUAGCUAUGUUCGGAAGGGAUAACCGCUGAAAGCAUCUAAGCGGGAAGCCUACCUCAAGAUAAGAUUUCCCUAGGACUUUAUGUCCUCUAAAGAGCCGUUCGAGACUAGGACGUUGAUAGGUUGGAUGUGGAAGCAUAGUGAUAUGUGAAGCUGACCAAUACUAAUUGCUCGUGAGGCUUGACUAUACAACACCCAAGCAGUUG
rnacentral:rRNA from 1 species